rnacentral:rRNA from 1 species
AAUAGAUACCCGGGUAGUCCACGCCGUAAACUAUGGAUGCUAGCUGUAAGAAGUAUCGACCCUUCUUGUAGCGAAGCUAACGCGUUAAGCAUCCCGCCUGUGGAGUACGGUCGCAAGACUAAAACAUAAAGGAAUUGACGGGGACCCGCACAAGCGGUGGAGCGUGUUGUUUAAUUCGAUGGUAAGCGAAGAACCUUACCCAGGCUUGACAUCCUUGGAAGGCCUCCGAAAGGAGACUGUGUCUUCGGAAACCAAGUGACAGGUGAUGCAUGGCCGUCGUCAGCUCGUGUCGUGAGAUGUUUGGUUAAGUCCAUCAACGAGCGCAACCCUUAUGAAUAGUUGUAUUUUUCUAUUCAGACUGCCCUGGCAACAGGGAGGAAGGGGGGAUGAUGUCAGGUCAGUAUUUCCCUUACGUCUGGGGCUACAAACACGCUACAAUGGCCGGUACAAAGGGCAGCCAACCCGCGAGGGGGAGCAAAUCCCAUCAAAGCCGGUCUCAGUUCGGAUAGCAGGCUGAAACUCGCCUGCUUGAAGUCGGAAUCGCU